rnacentral:rRNA from 1 species
CGAAGUAGCAAUACUUAGUGGCAGACGGGUGAGUAACAUGUGGGUAUCUGCCCUUUGGCCUGGAAUAACACGAGGAAACUUGUGCUAAUACCGGAUAAGUCUUUACGGAGAAAGCUUUAUGCACCAUUGGAUGAGCCCGCACUUGAUUAGUUUGUUGGUGGGGUAAUGGCCUACCAAGACUGUGAUCAAUAGCUGAUUUGAGGGGAUGAUCAGCCACAUUGGGACUGAGACACGGCCCAAACUCCUACGGGAGGCAGCAGUGGGGAAUCUUGCACAAUGGAGGAAACUCUGAUGCAGCGAUGCCGCGUGAGUGAAGAAGGCCCUUGGGUUGUAAAGCUCUUUCGUCGGGGAAGAAAAUGACUGUACCCGAAUAAGAAGGUCCGGCUAACUUCGUGCCAGCAGCCGCGGUAAUACGAAGGGACCUAGCGUAGUUCGGAAUUACUGGGCUUAAAGAGUUCGUAGGUGGUUGAAAAAGUUAGUGGUGAAAUCCCAGAGCUUAACUCUGGAACUGCCAUUAAAACUUUUCAGCUAGAGUAUGAUAGAGGAAAGCAGAAUUUCUAGUGUAGAGGUGAAAUUCGUAGAUAUUAGAAAGAAUACCAAUUGCGAAGGCAGCUUUCUGGAUCAUUACUGACACUGAGGAACGAAAGCAUGGGUAGCGAAGAGGAUUAGAUACCCUCGUAGUCCAUGCCGUAAACGAUGUGUGUUAGACGUUGGAAAUUUAUUUUCAGUGUCGCAGCGAAAGCGAUAAACACACCGCCUGGGGAGUACGACCGCAAGGUUAAAACUCAAAUGAAUUGACGGGGACCCGCACAAGUAGUGGAGCAUGUGGUUUAAUUCGAAGAUACGCGCAGAACCUUACCAACACUUGACAUGUUCGUCGCGACUCUAAGAGAUUAGAGUUUUCGGUUCGGCCGGACGAAACACAGGUGCUGCAUGGCUGUCGUCAGCUCGUGUCGUGAGAUGUUGGGUUAAGUCCCGCAACGAGCGCAACCCUCACUUUUAGUUGCCAUCAUUUAGUUGGGCACUCUGAAAGAACUGCCAGUGA